rnacentral:rRNA from 1 species
AGUAGUUAUAUACUUAUCUUAAAGAUUAAGCUAUAUAUAUCUAAGUAUAAGUAAUUAUACCGCGAAACUGCGAAUGGCUCAUUAUAUAAGUUAUCGUUUAUUUAAUAGUAUAUUUACCUACUUAGAUAACCGUAGUAAUUCUAGAGCUAAUAUAUACUAAAAAUCCUGACUUUGGAAGGGAUAUAUUUAUUAGAUUAAAAGCUAACGCCCUUCGGGGCUUCUUAGUAAUUUAUAAUAACUAGUCGAAUCGUAUAGCCUUACGCCGGCGAUAGUUUAUUUAAAUUUCUUCCCUAUUAACUUUCGAUGCGAGGGUCUUGUCCUCGCAUGGUUGCAACGGGUAACGGAGGGUUAGGGCUCGACCCUAGAGAAGGAGCCUAAGAAAUAGCUACUAUAUCUAAGGAAGGUAGUAGGCGCGCAAAUUACCUAAUCCUAAUACGGGGAGGUAGUAAUAAUAAAUACUAAUAUAGGGCUCUUUUAGGUCUUAUAAUCGGAAUAAGUAUAAUUUAAAUCCUUUAACGAGGAAUAAUUAGAAGGCAAGUCUAGUGCUAGCAGCCGCGGUAAUUCUAGCUCUAAUAGCGUAUAUUAAAGUUGUUAUGGUUAAAAAGCUCGUAGUUGAACCUUGGGCCUGGCUGGCCGGUCCCCCUCACCGGGUGCACUGAUCCAGCCGGGCCUUUCCCUCUGUGGAACCUCAUGGUCUUCACUGACUGUGUUGGGGAAACAGGACUUUUACUUUGAAAAAAUUAGAGUGCUCCAGGCAGGCCUAUGCUCGAAUACAUUAGCAUGGAAUAAUAGAAUAGGACGUGUGGUUCUAUUUUGUUGGUUUCUAGGACCGCCGUAAUAAUUAAUAGGGAUAGUCGGGGGUAUUAGUAUUUAAUUAUUAGAGGUAAAAUUCUUAGAUCUAUUAAAGACUAACUACUACGAAAGUAUUUGCUAAGGAUAUUUUUAUUAAUAAGGAACGAAAGUUAGGGGAUUAAAGACGAUUAGAUACCGUCGUAGUCUUAACUAUAAACUAURCCGACUAGGGAUCGGACGAUGUUAUCUUUUGACGCGUUCGGCACCUUUCGAGAAAUCAAAGUGCUUGGGCUCCAGGGGGAGUAUGGUCGCAAGGCUGAAACUUAAAGAAAUUSACGGAAGGGCACCACCARGGGUGGAACCUGCGGCUUAAUUUGACUCAACACGGGGAAACUCACCAGGUCCAGACACAGUGAGGAUUGACAGAUUGAGAGCUCUUUCUUGAUUCUGUGGGUGGUGGUGCAUGGCCGUUCUUAGUUGGUGGAGUGAUUUGUCUGCUUAAUU